AAAUAUAAUACAAAACAUAAUCCGAAGAUAAGCAUCUUGAAACCCAAAAUGUGAGUCAAACAAGAAAGUGAGUUUUCUUGUUUGACUCACAUUUCUUGUUUGACUCAUAUUUUGGGUUUCAAGAUGCUUAUCUUCGGAUUAUGUUUUGUAUU